rnacentral:lncRNA from 1 species
UUUUGUUGGGUUUUUUUUCGUCAUGGCAUCAUACAAAUAAGAAUUACAAAGUUAAACAUCAUGUAAAUUUUUGUAAAAUUUAAAGAAAAAUCAAACACGAUACCCAACCUAAGCAACAUGACCACACAAAAACACAAAAGAUAUCUAGAGGUCAAUGAGAGAGAAACAUGAACACACAAAAAACAAAAAAGAUAUAUAUAGGUAAAUAAGAGAGCAACCAGAACCAGACCACACAAAAACACAAAAGAAAAGUCAAUCAGACGGCAACAAAAUCACACCAAAAUAACAAAAGAUAUCUAUUAACCAAUAAUAGAGCAAUAUGACUUCACAAAAACAUAAAUGAUAUUUAAUCAAACACAAAAAAUUAUCUAGAGAUCAAUGAGACAGCAACCGAUAAAGACAAAAGGUAAAUAUUAGCCAAUAUGAGUGCAACCUAAUUAACAAAAACACAAAUGGUAUUUCGAAGUCUACAAGACAACUACCAACCCACACAAAAACACAAUACAGAGCAACCUAAUCACAUGAAAAUAUCAAGACGAAAAAUUAGACAGCAACCAGACCACACAAAAAACACAAAAUAUAUCUAUUAGCAAUAUAACUACACAUAAAACAAGAGGAUAUCUAGAAAUCAAUGAAACAGAAAACAGACCACACAAAAGAAACACAAAAAAAUAUCUUAAAGUCAAUGAGAAAACAACCAGAUCACAAAAACACAAGCGACAUCUAAAAGUUAAUGAAAGAGCAAAAUGACCACACAAAAACACAAAAUAUAUCUUGAGGUCAAUGAAAGAACAGCUGAAGGUCAAUGAAACAUCAACCUGUCCAAACAAAAGAUAUCUAGAGAUCAAUGAGAUGGCAACAUGGCCACAUGUAAAACACAAA